AUCAUUCAUCAAUGGAGGUGGGUAGACCUUACCAAUAGUUCUCUGAAAACCAAGCUUGUGACGCAAGUCGAUUCAGUGGAAUUCAAUUUUGGAACUCAACAGAGAAGAUUGCGCCCCUUCGAAGGGUGAGCUUCGAGGUAGCAGGAGCCAAUCACAACCGGUAAAUUCCACCAAUCAGCACCGGUAAAAUACAAUGCUCUCAACGGGCCAAUCACCACCGGUAAGAUCAAAAGGUCCGACCAAUCAGCACCGGUAAAAUAACAAUAAAGCGUUGUCACGGAAUCCAAGCAACUCUUGUCCUUGAGUGAUACUGUAUUUAUUUCAAAGUUUUCGGCUUGAUCGAAGAAAAACUAAACUUGUUUGCUCUUAAAAAAGCGUAAAUUGAGUGAUAUCGUCUCAGCUUUUAUCAUUUUAGAGUAGACCAAUCAACCAAAACGACAUCUGGAGCUACUAAGGAGAAUUUUUAUGUCGAAGGAACGGUAUUCGAAGGUUCGACUUCAUUCUUUAUGAGUUUUAUAUUUCUUGCUUGCUGUAUUGUGCUUUUUUCUCUUUGUUUGUGAUCUUUCAGGUAAAAUGGCCCGAAUGCCAAAGAUUUCAACGAUUCUUAGACGGGACUUUGAUACAGAAAAGGCUCGAGAGGUAUUUCUGCUAGAACACUGAAAUUUUGCUCAUCUACUAAUGUGAGCUAUGAUGACUUCAGCACUGCAAUAAAAUUUCUAUUAGAAAUGUCUAUGGCUUUUUGCAUAGGGUCUAGUUAUGCUGUUUUUCUACUUUAAUUUUUGAAUGUGAAUUGAAUUGAAUUUAUGUAAAUCACAAACAGCCAAACUAUAUAUCUAUCAGUACAGAGUGUUUUCACUCACGUGAGAAGGCAGCCAUGAACAAUAGAAACUUUCUGCACAGUAUUUGAAUAAAAAUAGAGUUCAAUUCCCGGAGGAUAGAAAAUGUAUGUGGACCCCACGUGAAAACGCUCUAUACAUGUACAGUGUGUCUUUAUUUGGAGCCAAUUCAACUUCUCUUUAUUUCCUAGAAUUAUAGAAUCAAUAAUAUAACAAUGAAUUUUGAUUGUAGCUGAGCAACACAAUGAGGCUUUUUAUUAAAAAAACCUAACCACU